CCGAGUUUACAACUCCCAACCCAAUGUGAACGUUACCAAACUGCUGCCUCGGCGGGAUCUCUGCCCCGGGUGCGUCGCAGCCCCGGACCAAGGCGCCCGCCGGAGGACCAACCAAAACUCUUAUUGUAUACCCCCUCGCGGGUUUUUUUAUAAUCUGAGCCUUCUCGGCGCCUCUCGUAGGCGUUUCGAAAAUGAAUCA
rnacentral:misc_RNA from 1 species